CCCCGUACACUGUGCGGGGCGCGUAUUUCGAUUUACACCCAGGGGGUCUGCUCGUG
rfam:Yokenella regensburgei ATCC 43003 genomic scaffold Scfld72, whole genome shotgun sequence.